AAGAAGCCCUUUUUGAAGUUGCUCUCGCGAGAAAAUGAGAAUCCCUAAAAAGGCCCUAUUUUCCUUUACCACUCUCUAUCCUCCCAGAUUUUGUAUCGUGUGCGAGGGCUGGACUGGUAGGAAAUAUCGGGAAAUUUCCUGAAAAAAUCGGUAAAAUACCUAUGAAUACUGAAAUAUCGAUGAUAUUUUCGAAAAAUUAUCGAAAUUUCCGUCGACUGAUAAUGUGUAUAUUGUGUCGGAGCCGGCCCGAUAAGCAAUAUUUCUCCCGCCAAAAAUUUUGGACAUUUCAAUCCUUGCAGCUAGGUGGAUAAAGGGAAUCAAGCUACAUUGGAUUUUUGGCUUUGAACAAUAGAGUUUAUGAGAGGACUUCAAGCUGCAUCCGAGAUAUAGAAACCAGGCUAUGUCAAUUGUCACAGUGCUGUCAUUACUUCAGUUAGGUGGGUAAAGGUCCAGGAUAAACAAUGAUGUCUUGUCCUAUUGGUUAUGUAAUUCGUCUACACUGCUGUUGCUUCUUCAACGCACACUCAAAGCAAGUGGAGCAGCUAGCUUAACUCCACAAAGGCUGACAUCAACAUCAGCGUCAUUAUUUGGGAGGAUGUAAAUGGAAAUUGUUUUAACUUUGGCACCAACCAGGACAUUUGAUAUAGCUUCCUUUUUUUUUUUGUUUCUGUUUCUAUUAUCUCAUUGGCUGCCUUACAUUUUUAGGGGCUUCGUGCAUCUCCCAAAAGUGCUGGGUUCUCAUUUUUUAAUGGUCAAGUGUUUGGUGGACUGGAUGACUUGAGACAAGUUGAAGCCAAAUAUCCAGCUUUGCUUUUUAAACAGCAACUCACAGCCUCCCUUGAUAAGAUAUAUGGAAUGAUAAGAGACAAUUUAAAGAAAGAGAUUUCCCCAUUGCUUGGAUUGUGUAUUCAGGUAAUUCUUCUUAGCAGUAGUUAAUUAGAAAGAAAAUAUGAACGGUAAGACUAGUUCCAUUUAAUAUCAAAAGCAACACAUUUUUUGAAGAACCCUUUUUUAUGUAAGUCCUUCCCUAACUACUGAACACAUCAGUAUUGAACCUAUUGAUAUUCUUAUGAGUCAGCCUGCAAUUCACUUAUUAAGGUCAAGAAAUGACAAACUUUUGUUGCUAAUUAUUUAAAAACAGACACUCAACUUGUUGCUUUACUUUCAUGAAAGAUUGAAGGAACUUGUUUGUUUAUUUUGUUUGGUUGCAAUUCAAUUCUUUUAAAUACAAAGACUAUCUUUUCACAAUGGGUUUAUAAGACUCUUUUUGUACUUUUUCUUCAACAAUAUGGUUUGAUUUUUUACUUAUGAGGGGAGAAAAGGGAAAGGUAUGACAGAUUAAGUUAGGACAUGUAGAUGGUAAGUAAAUCUUUCCAAUAUUUUUUACAUCGUGCUGUUGCCUGUAACUCAACUUGUAAGUCAACCUAUUAAUUCACAUUUUCUAUUGUUCACCCAAAACCAAGUAUGCCUCCCCUUGAAUUUGUUUAUUUAUUUACAUGUAAAUAAACUUCCUUGAAUAAGUACCUAUUGUUAGAAUUUAGGGAUCAAUCAAUUCCUUUGCACCUAGAAAGAAUGUUUCUAUUGGGCAAAUUGACCACUUAGCACACACCAUCUCAGAUAUUUUCAUUCAUCAAUGUUCAGUUAUUCAACAGGUAAGUGCACUCAAACAUGGCUUUUUUUUUUAUGAUCCCAAUUAGUUUACUUAUGUAAUAUGUGUAAGUGGCAUUUUUAAAUUCAUUUUUGCAGUUUUCUUUUGAGGCGUGAAUUUUGCUCAUUCAGCAAUGGGGAGUUUGUGAAGACAGGAUUGGCUGAGUUAGAAAACUGGUUCCAUGAAGCAACCGAAGAGUAUGCUGGCUCAGCUUGGGAUGAACUGAGGCAUAUCAGACAAGCAGGUUUAACUCAUUAAUCUGGCCUCCCACUCCUAAUACUAUCAUUGUUUUCACAUAUUUUCCUUGCUUGCUUGACUGUUUCCUUCUCCUCUCUGUUUUUAUCUAUUUUGCUGAAUCAAGUUAUACAUCAAAAGCCUAAAAAAACUUUGAAAGUAAUAACAAAUGAUUUGGAAUGUUUUGCAGCUUUGAAACGGUGUCGUUUCAUAGAAGUGGAAUGUGAUGUUAAACAAGGAUGAAAGUUUCCAAUUUUUUGGCUGAAAUUUCGGGUUUCGGUGGCCGGCAAUACGAAAGAGGGGGGCGAAAUGUCGAUGGGAGAAAUUUCGUCAAAUUUCGAUUAUAUAGUUAUAUAUAAUAAAUUAAAGUAUUAUAGUCCUCUUUAUUGAUUAAUCAAUUAGUGAAUAUGAUAAUUGUAUUAUUUUUUUCAUCUGAAUAUGAUUGUCGUAUCUCUCAUAUGGUCUUUGUG